UGUCGUCAGCUCGUGUUGUGAAAUGUUGGGUUAAGUCCCGCAACGAGCGCAACCCUUAUCCUUUGUUGCCAGCGGUCCGGCCGGGAACUCAAAGGAGACUGCCAGUGAUAAACUGGAGGAAGGUGGGGAUGACGUCAAGUCAUCAUGGCCCUUACGACCAGGGCUACACACGUGCUACAAUGGCGCAUACAAAGAGAAGCGACCUCGCGAGAGCAAGCGGACCUCAUAAAGUGCGUCGUAGUCCGGAUUGGAGUCUGCAACUCGACUCCAUGAAGUCGGAAUCGCUAGUAAUCGUGGAUCAGAAUGCCACGGUGAAUACGUUCCCGGGCCUUGUACACACCGCCCGUCACACCAUGGGAGUGAGUUGCAAAAGAAGUAGGUAGCUUAACCUUCGGGAG
rnacentral:rRNA from 1 species